rnacentral:rRNA from 1 species
GAUGAACGCUGGCGGCGUGCUUAACACAUGCAAGUCGAACGGACUUUACAUGAAGCCUAGCGAAUGUAAAGUUAGUGGCGGACGGGUGAGUAACGCGUGGGUAACCUGCCAUAUACAGGGGGAUAACACUUAGAAAUAGGUGCUAAUACCGCAUAAGCGCACGGUUUCGCAUGAAACAGUGUGAAAAACUCCGGUGGUAUAUGAUGGACCCGCGUCUGAUUAGCUGGUUGGUGGGGUAACGGCCCACCAAGGCGACGAUCAGUAGCCGGCCUGAGAGGGUGAACGGCCACAUUGGGACUGAGACACGGCCCAAACUCCUACGGGAGGCAGCAGUGGGGAAUAUUGCACAAUGGGGGAAACCCUGAUGCAGCGACGCCGCGUGAGUGAAGAAGUAUUUCGGUACGUAAAGCUCUAUCAGCAGGGAAGAAAAUGACGGUACCUGACUAAGAAGCCCCGGCUAACUACGUG